rnacentral:tRNA from 1 species
GGAGAGAUGGCUGAGCGGUUUAAGGCGGCGGUCUUGAAAACCGUUGUGGAUGAAAGUCCACCCAGGGUUCGAAUCCCUGUCUCUCCG